rnacentral:lncRNA from 1 species
UGUCCCUUAUGUAAUUUUUUACCUUUUCAUAGGUAUUUGGUAGUUUUAAAGUUAUGUAUGAAAUGAUGAGUCGAGGAUGGACUAAAAGGAGCAAGAAGAAGGGCCAGGCUCUGUGUUUGUCGUCUGGUGAAAUCUCUGACUUUCCCUGAUUUUUGUGUGACUGAGAAGCAUAUUAUGGUCAACCUUUCUGUACAGAUUAUGAAGUAAGGUAGAUGAUCAGUUGUAUCUCAGAUAAGCGCAAACAAAUUUCUGAUUUAUAUUUAGCAUCAAAAUAUUUUUAUUUCUAUCUCAUCCCAUAUAUUGAAAGUCUUGUUUCCUUCGGCAUUGUAUGUUUAUUUGAUUCAUCUUAAAAUAUACCAGAAAGUUUCAGAGCUGUAUCAGCGAUACUGACGACAACAAAUUCACUGAGCACAGUUUUUUUUAUUUUUCCUUGCAGAUCUUUCCAUAUCUGGAAGAUACCACUUUCAGGAUGCAGAAAGCCGAUGUUCAAAAUUACUUUAAAAUAUUGUAUUAUCCUGUCAACUUUCUAGACAGAUUUCUGUAUUUCUCUGUGUUAAUCUCAGAGCUUUUCCCAUGGACUGGAUUCCAUUUCUGCGAAGUAACUGAGGUGGUUCGAACGCCGUGAACGCUGCGCCCGGUGCGGCCCUGACCUUCCCCGUCCUGUUCUCGGCCCGGCCUCCGUUUGUCGGUCCGCAUUAGUGGCUCACCCGUCUCCGCGAUCGUUUUUUGCCAAGAUUCCUCAUGCGACCGAGAUCACGCAAUCGCCAUGCUCUGACGGACUGACUUCACUGAGCGUCACACCCUCUGGCUCCGGCCCCCUUGUUGCAAAUGGCAAGAUUCCGUUCUUCUUGACAGCUCGAUACUAUUCCUCGUGUGUGUACACCACAGUUCCUUUAUCCAUUCAUCAGUGCGUGGACCCCGGACGCUCCGGCUGCUGCUUGGCUUGGCUCUUGUAAGUAAUGCCGCAGUCAACAUGGGUGUGCAUGUAUUUCUUUGAUUUAGUGCUUUUGUCUUCUUUGGGUAGAUGCCUGGAGGGGGAAUUACUGGACCACAGAGUAACUGGGUUUUUAACUUUUUGAGAAACCUCCACACUGUCCCUCCCAUGGCUGCGCCAACUUACCUUGCCUCCAACAGAGCAGGGGUGAGCCUUCUUCUGCACGUCCUCACCAACACUUGUUAUUUCUUGUGUUUCUGAUUUUUACCCGUUCUGACAGGUGUAAAGUGAAGUCUCACAGCAGUUUUGAUUUGCAUUAGCCCGAUGAUGAGUGAUUUUGAGCAUCUUUCCAUGAGUCUGUUGGCCAUCUGGAUGUCUUCUUUGGAACAAUGUUUAUUCAGGUCUUCUGCCCAUUUUUAAUUGGAUUAUUUGUUUUUUGGGGUUCAGCUGUAUAAGUUCGUUACAUGUUUUGGACAUUAACCUCUUGUUGGAUAUAAAAUUUGCAAAUAUCUUCUCCC